CUCGGCCUUAACCAUUAGGGUUUAUCAAUUCUGUGCUCCUGGUUCUUCGGCCGCCUCUUGGCGCGAUGUAGCUAUAGUGAUAUUUCCUUGUGCAAAACUUUUUCGAGCUUCUCUUCAAUCGUCUGAUUUAACUGCAGUCUCAUUUGGUUCUUCUUUUUUGUUCCUUACGAUUGCUGAAGAAAGCCGUUUAUCUUGAUCGGUAAUUACUUGGACCGGCCAAAACCAUUCUAGCAUAUGAGGCCUGGCUUGAAAACCACUAGAAGCUUUCAAUCUCUUUGAUUUUGAUCAGUCACUGAAAUAAUGUCCAUUGCAGAUAGUAAUUAAUGAGAUAGAAGCUUGUAAAGUAUGCCAGUUGUGAAGACCUAGGUAGGUAAUGAAGGCCAUUGCAAAUUAUUACUUGAUACUUCCAGCCAAAAUUCUUGACUGAGGAAUUAUUAAUGCGGUUAAACAGCAAUCUAAUGCUUCUGCCGUAAAUGCCGAAGCAGCAUCAACCUUUACAGUGUGCCCCUGCAAAGCCCUACCGUCAAAGAUAUCACCAAAUUAUUCCUACAAUCAAAGAUAUCAUCACCAAAUUAUUUCACAUUUACAUUACCCUUUAAUUAAGCCAAAUUCUUGCAAAUAUUUGAGUGUCAAAUUUAGAAAUUUCCACAAAACUUGAUGAAUUCAAUGUUAUCAGAAACUUUUUAUUAUGUUGCUAGUUUUAUUCUGAAGUUGUUUUAAAAAAAAAAAAAGGGUCAUUUUA